AAAUGAAUAGACGGGGGCCCGCACAAGCGGUGGAGCAUGUUGCUUAAUUCGAGGCAACGCGAAGAACCUUACCCGGGUUUGACAUGCAAACGACCGGCGGCGAAAGCCGCCCUCCCCUCGGGGCGUUUGCACAGAUGCUGCAUGGCUGUCGUCAGCUCGUGCCGUGAGGUGUUCGGUUAAGUCCGGCAACGAGCGCAACCCGUGCCGCCAGUUGCCAUCAGGUGAUGCUGGGGACUCUGGCGGGACCGCCCGUGUCAAGCGGGAGGAAGGCGCGGAUGACGUCAAGUCCGUAUGGCUCCCACGCCCGGGGCUGCAAACGUGCUACAAUGGCCGGCACAGUGGGGCGCGCGCCCGCGAGGGCAAGCCAAUCCCCAAAACCGGCCCCAGUCCGGAUCGCAGUCUGCAACCCGACUGCGUGAAGUCGGAAUCGCUAGUAAAGGGGCAUCAGCGACGGCCCCUUGAAUACGUUCCCGGGCCUUGUACACACCGCCCGU
rnacentral:rRNA from 1 species